GGCCCGUGGGCGGCAUGCCUACACAUGCAAGUCGAACGAGACCUUCGGGUCUAGUGGCGCACGGGUGCGUAACGCGUGGGAACCUGCCCUUAGGUUCGGAAUAACUCAGAGAAAUUUGAGCUAAUACCGGAUAAUGUCUUCGGACCAAAGAUUUAUCGCCUUUGGAUGGGCCCGCGUUGGAUUAGCUAGUUGGUGGGGUAAAGGCCUACCAAGGCGACGAUCCAUAGCUGGUCUGAGAGGAUGAUCAGCCACACUGGGACUGAGACACGGCCCAGACUCCUACGGGAGGCAGCAGUGGGGAAUAUUGGACAAUGGGCGAAAGCCUGAUCCAGCAAUGCCGCGUGAGUGAUGAAGGCCUUAGGGUUGUAAAGCUCUUUUACCAGGGAUGAUAAUGACAGUACCUGGAGAAUAAGCUCCGGCUAACUCCGUGCCAGCAGCCGCGGUAAUACGGAGGGAGCUAGCGUUGUUCGGAAUUACUGGGCGUAAAGCGCACGUAGGCGGCUUUUUAAGUCAGGGGUGAAAUCCCGGGGCUCAACCCCCGGAACUGCCCUUUGAAACUGGAAAGCUAGAAUCUUGGAGAGGGCGAGUGGAAUUUCCGAGUGUAGAGGUGAAAUUCGUAGAUAUUCGGAAGAACACCAGUGGCGAAAGCGACUCGCUGGACAAGUAUUGACGCUGAGUGCGAAAGCGUGGGGAGCAAACAGGAUUAGAUACCCUGGUAGUCCACGCCGUAACGAUGAUAACUAGCUGUCCCGGGUUUCAUGGAAACUUGGUGGCGCAGCUAACGCAUUAAAGUUAUCCGCCCUGGGGGAGUACGUCGGCAGAUUUAAACUCAAGAAUGACGGGGUCUUGCACAGCGUGGGAGCAUGUGGUUUAAUUCGGAGCCACGUCGCAGAUCAUAACAGCGUUGGACAUCUUAGAACGACUCUGGAGACCGAAUUUCAUCCGUCCGGGACUACUGAACGGUACUGCAUGGCUAUCGUCAGACUCAUGAUACAAU
rnacentral:rRNA from 1 species